rnacentral:rRNA from 1 species
AGCAGCCGCGGUAAUUCCAGCUCCAAUAGCGUAUAUUAAAGUUGUUGCAGUUAAAAAGCUCGUAGUUGAAUUUCGGGGUUCUACCGUUGGUCGGGCUUUGUCUGUACUGGCGUGUAGAAUUUCUACCUUUUGGGGAACCAUCAUGUUAUUAAUUUAACGUGGCGGGAAACCAGGACCUUUACCUUGAAAAAAUUAGAGUGUUCAAAGCAGGCUUACGUCUGAAUACAUUAGCAUGGAAUAAUAAAAUAGGACGGUGGUCCUGUUUUGUUGGUUUCUGAAUCACCGUAAUGAUUAAUAGGGAUAGUUGGGGGCAUUAGUAUUCAAUUGUCAGAGGUGAAAUUCUUGGAUUUAU